GUGAUCUUCGAUACAAUUACAUACUUUUUUUCGUAAAGACGGUCUUUUGAAUAGUGCAUUAUAGUUGUGGUGUCGCGAUCAAUUUGGCUCUCAAAUCUUUCCUUAGUAUCUUUCCAGAUGGAGACUUUGGAAUCGCGUGAAUAAAAUACACCUUGUGCAAUUUUUUAUAGAAUACCACCUGUUUGGCAAUAAAUUCCUUUAUAGCUUCUUCAGUAAGAUCAAAACCUUGGGCUGAACGGACUACAAAUGCAACUGGAACUUCCCCUGCAGCAUCAUCCUUUUGUGGCACAACAGCAGCAUCUGCAAUAUCUGGAUGGCUUAUUAAAAGAGACUCAAGCUCAGCUGGUGGCACCUGGAAACCUUUAAACUUUAUGAGCUCUUUGACUCUAUCGACGAUAUAUAUUUCAUCAUCGUCAUCAACAUAUCCUAUAUCGCCGGUGUGGAGCCAUCCAUCGACAUCAAUGGUCCGUGCAGUGGCUUCAUCGUCAUUGAGAUAACCUUUCAUGAUUUGAGAACCGCGAAUGCAAAUUUCACCGGGUUGGUU
rnacentral:misc_RNA from 1 species